AUGAAUGCUGGUAUGGGAUCUGCUCGUGGUGAUCAACUGGAUGCAGGAUUUGCGAAGCUUCAAGGUGAAGACUUCCAAUACAUCAUGCAAUCUUAUGAAAUCAUCGUGGGACGCAAUUCCAAGAAAGGAAAGGUAGACUUAGAUCUCAGCGCCGUUGGCGGAGAUAGGGAUGUUUCCCGCCGCCAUGCACGCAUCUUCUAUGAUUUUCAACACCGCUCGUUUGCCCUUGAGGUUCUGGGCCAACAUGGAUGCUAUGUUCAGAGGGUCCUUCACCGCCCAGGUGAUGAUCCCGUUAAACUGAAGUCCCAGGAUCUCAUUCAGAUUGGACAAACACAAUUCUACUUUCUCCUACCAGCUCGCCCCAUCUUUGCAUCCUUUGCUGGUGAGGAAACUCCACACUCGUCUAAUUUUCGUGGCCAAUCCAUUCAUAUUGGUUCCGCCACAGCUUCUCCUCGGCAAACUCAUAUUCCAUCACGACCCAUGUCUUCAUCCGGCAAGCACCCUGCCCAUUCUGAUUUUUCUGCUUCUCGUAACAAUGGUUAUGGCGGCGCCAAUUCCAAAAAAUUUGAAACUAGAAUGGCAGACAAGGAUGAAGACAAUAAGUUGGAGUAUCAUCUUACCUCAUGUGUUGCUGUCAUGGUAUCAAUCCACUGUGAUGCUAGUGGUAGACAAUGGAUGCCUGUGGAACAACUUCAUGCAGAGCUUACUAAAAAGUUCACUGCGAUAUGGCCCUAUGGCAAUGUCCAGAAGUACCUGGCACCAGAGGAUGGCUCCUCAACCAGAACAGCAGAGAGGCCAUGGCACAGGCUGUUGGAGCUGCUCAAGAAUCACCCGGAGAGGUUUAUCAUGAGUUCAAUCUCUAGAGGCACAAUAACAUUAGAAUUCGUUUCUCUGGUCAGCUUGGCUGAUAAGUUUUGCUGUCCCGAGGUUGAUCAGGUCACUGCCAGGUUCAUGUCCAAAAAAUAA
rnacentral:rRNA from 1 species